rnacentral:rRNA from 1 species
CCUACGGGUGGCAGCAGUGAGGAAUAUUGGUCAAUGGACGAGAGUCUGAACCAGCCAAGCCGCGUGAAGGAUGACUGCUCUAUGGGUUGUAAACUUCUUUUAUAUGGGAAUAAAACGUUCCACGCGUGGGACUUUGUAUGUACCAUAUGAAUAAGCAUCGGCUAACCCCGUGCCAGCAGCCGCGGUAAUACGGAGGAUCCGAGCGUUAUCCGGAUUUGUUGGGUUUAAAGGGAGCGUAGGUGGUUUGGUAAGUCAGUUGUGAAAGCUUGCGGCUCAACCGUAAAAUUGCAGUUGAAACUGGCAGUCUGGAGUACAGUAGAGGUGAGCGGAAUUCGUGGUGUAGCGGUGAAAUGCUUAGAUAUCACGAAGAACUCCGAUUGCGAAGGCAGCUCACUGGACUGCAACUGACGCUGAGGCUCGAAAGUGUGGGUAUCAAACAGGAUUAGAUACCCUGGUAGUC